UGAUGUGAGGAGUGGAUAACUUGUUGAGAUCAUGGAGUUGGACUAUUGUUGUCAUUUGUGCAAAAAAGACAUGCGAAUAGUCGGUUUACUGCACCACUGUAUACAACGUUUCUGAAGUUCAAAUCAACCGUUGUCAGUGGCAGAAAGAUUACAGAAAGUUGGAGUGAACCUUUUGAUUAUACCGGGGAAUUCCAAUCGAGUCUGUCGAGCUUGUACAACGGUGUUGAAUAGACUGGAAAGAGAUCUGCCAAUUUAUUGGAGGUGAAUUGAAAAUGAGGUCAAAGCAGGUGCCCCUGCAGAACAAACAGCUGCUGAAAAGAGAGCUCGGGAGCCUACUCCCUCGAAAACACCGAGAGACUUUAAGAAGCUCAGCCACAACACAGACAAGUCAAGGAUAUCUGUUGCUCUUCCGCGGAAUAUAGCAGAGAUUCUCCCUCUGCAGCAUCUGAAACUACCUGUAAGUUGACCCCUGCAGCCCGUUGGCAGUGAACGGCUGGGUCCAUCCUCACCAUGACAUGGACUGAACUAUAAGACCAGACUUCCUCUGGGAUUGGAACAGCCAGGUUCGAGCGCCGCAGAUGUGUGCAAGGGGCCAAAUUUCCAAUCUGAAGUUAGUAGGGGGGUUCAGACAUCAACAGUAAGGCCCCAGCCUCUGGGUUUGUACUAUUCAUGAUGUGAUAAAUAUUUCUUGGGGGAAAAAAAGCAAGAAGGGAAAACUGUACAUUCCAGUCCUGCAGAAAGCGCAACAACCCCACACUUUCAUGUCACUUUAAGGGGAACUUGAUUAUUCUAAAUUAUUCUAAUAGACCUAUGCCUGGUCUGUCUCUUUUAUUACGGUCAUAAGAGGAAGAGCCCAAACAGU